GAUGAACGCUAGCUACAGGCUUAACGCAUGCAAGUCGAGGGGAAACGGCAUUUAGUGCUUGCACCGAAUGGACGUCGACCGGCGCACGGGUGAGUAACGCGUAUCCAACCUACCCAUUACUGUGGGAUAACCUGCCGAAAGGCAGACUAAUACCGCAUAGUCUUCGAUGACGGCAUCAGAUUUGAAGUAAAGAUUUAUCGGUAAUGGAUGGGGAUGCGUCUGAUUAGCUUGUUGGCGGGGUAACGGCCCACCAAGGCAACGAUCAGUAGGGGUUCUGAGAGGAAGGUCCCCCACAUUGGAACUGAGACACGGUCCAAACUCCUACGGGAGGCAGCAGUGAGGAAUAUUGGUCAAUGGACGAGAGUCUGAACCAGCCAAGUAGCGUGCAGGAUGACGGCCCUAUGGGUUGUAAACUGCUUUUGUAUGGGGAUAAAGUCAAUCACGUGUGAUUGUUUGCAGGUACCAUACGAAUAAGGACCGGCUAAUUCCGUGCCAGCAGCCGCGGUAAUACGGAAGGUCCGGGCGUUAUCCGGAUUUAUUGGGUUUAAAGGGAGCGUAGGCCGGAGAUUAAGUGUGUUGUGAAAUGUAGACGCUCAACGUCUGACUUGCAGCGCAUACUGGUUUCCUUGAGUACGCACAACGUUGGCGGAAUUCGUCGUGUAGCGGUGAAAUGCUUAGAUAUGACGAAGAACUCCGAUUGCGAAGGCAGCUGACGGGAGCGCAACUGACGCUUAAGCUCGAAGGUGCGGGUAUCGAACAGG
rnacentral:rRNA from 1 species